rnacentral:rRNA from 1 species
UACAGAGGUCCCAAGCGUUGUUCGGAUUCACUGGGCGUAAAGGGUGCGUAGGUGGCCAGGUAAGUUUGGUGUGAAAGCUCGGAGCUUAACUCCGAAAAGUCAUUGAAUACUAUCUGGCUGGAGGGUCGGAGGGGAGACUGGAAUUCUCGGUGUAGCAGUGAAAUGCGUAGAUAUCGAGAGGAACACCAGUGGCGAAGGCGGCACUCUGGGACGGUACUGACGCUGAGACGCGAAAGCGUGGGGAGCGAACAGG